UCCAGACUCCUACGGGAGGCAGCAGGGGGGAAUAUUGCACAAUGGGGGAAACCCUGAUGCAGCAACGCCGCGUGAGUGAAGAAGUAUUUCGGUAUGUAAAGCCCUAUCAGCAGGGAAGAAGAAAUGACGGUACCUGAGUAAGAAGCACCGGCUAAAUACGUGCCAGCAGCCGCGGUAAUACGUAUGGUGCAAGCGUUAUCCGGAUUUACUGGGUGUAAAGGGAGCGUAGACGGCAGCGCAAGCCAGGAGUGAAAGCCCGGGGCCCAACCCCGGGACUGCUCUUGGAACUGCGCGGCUGGAGUGCAGGAGGGGCAGGCGGAAUUCCUAGUGUAGCGGUGAAAUGCGUAGAUAUUAGGAGGAACACCAGUGGCGAAGGCGGCCUGCUGGACGACAACUGACGGUGAGGCGCGAAAGCGUGGGGAGCAAACAGGAUUAGAUACCCCAGUA
rnacentral:rRNA from 1 species